UACGUAGGGUGCAAGCGUUAAUCGGAAUUACUGGGCGUAAAGCGUGCGCAGGCGGUUUUGCAAGCCGGAUGUGAAAUCCCCGGGCUCAACCUGGGAAUGGCAUUUGGGACUGCAAGGCUCGAGUGCGGCAGAGGAGACUGGAAUUCCUGGUGUAGCAGUGAAAUGCGUAGAUAUCAGGAGGAAUACCGAUGGCGAAGGCAGGUCUCUGGGCUGACACUGACGCUCAUGCACGAAAGCGUGGGGAGCAAACAGG
rnacentral:rRNA from 1 species